rnacentral:rRNA from 1 species
GACGAACGCUGGCGGCGUGCUUAACACAUGCAAGUCGAACGGAAAGGCCCUUCGGGGUACUCGAGUGGCGAACGGGUGAGUAACACGUGGGUGAUCUGCCCUGCACUUUGGGAUAAGCCUGGGAAACUGGGUCUAAUACCGAAUAUGAUCAUGGCCUUCAUGGGUUGUGGUGGAAAGCUUUUGCGGUGUGGGAUGGGCCCGCGGCCUAUCAGCUUGUUGGUGGGGUAAUGGCCUACCAAGGCGACGACGGGUAGCCGGCCUGAGAGGGUGUCCGGCCACACUGGGACUGAGAUACGGCCCAGACUCCUACGGGAGGCAGCAGUGGGGAAUAUUGCACAAUGGGCGCAAGCCUGAUGCAGCGACGCCGCGUGAGGGAUGACGGCCUUCGGGUUGUAAACCUCUUUCAGCAGGGACGAAGCGCAAGUGACGGUACCUGUAGAAGAAGGACCGGCCAACUACGUGCCAGCAGCCGCGGUAAUACGUAGGGUCCGAGCGUUGUCCGGAAUUACUGGGCGUAAAGAGCUCGUAGGUGGUUUGUCGCGUUGUUCGUGAAAACUCACAGCUUAACUGUGGGCGUGCGGGCGAUACGGGCAGACUUGAGUACUGCAGGGGAGACUGAAAUUCCUGGUGUAGCGGUGGAAUGCGCAGAUAUCAGGAGGAACACCGGUGGCGAAGGCGGGUCUCUGGGCAGUAACUGACGCUGAGGAGCGAAAGCGUGGGGAGCGAACAGGAUUAGAUACCCUGGUAGUCCACGCCGUAAACGGUGGGUACUAGGUGUGGGUUUCCUUCCUUGGGAUCCGUGCCGUAGCUAACGCAUUAAGUACCCCGCCUGGGGAGUACGGCCGCAAGGCUAAAACUCAAAGAAAUUGACGGGGGCCCGCACAAGCGGCGGAGCAUGUGGAUUAAUUCGAUGCAACGCGAAGAACCUUACCUGGGUUUGACAUGCACAGGACGUGCCUAGAGAUAGGUAUUCCCUUGUGGCCUGUGUGCAGGUGGUGCAUGGCUGUCGUCAGCUCGUGUCGUGAGAUGUUGGGUUAAGUCCCGCAACGAGCGCAACCCUUAUCUUAUGUUGCCAGCGCGUAAUGGCGGGGACUCGUGAGAGACUGCCGGGGUCAACUCGGAGGAAGGUGGGGAUGACGCCAAGUCAUCAUGCCCCUUAUGUCCAGGGCUUCACACAUGCUACAAUGGCCGGUACAAAGGGCUGCGAUGCCGUGAGGUGGAGCGAAUCCUUUCAAAGCCGGUCUCAGUUCGGAUCGGGGUCUGCAACUCGACCCCGUGAAGUCGGAGUCGCUAGUAAUCGCAGAUCAGCAACGCUGCGGUGAAUACGUUCCCGGGCCU